UCCCUGAUGGCUCAGAGGUUAAAGCAUCUGCCUGCAAUGUGGGAGACCUAGGUUCGAUCUCUGGGUCAGGAAG
rfam:Ovis aries breed Texel chromosome 5, whole genome shotgun sequence.